UUAGGUUUCUGCUCAAAUCUCACUUUGGUUAGAUUAAACCUGAUUUGUCUGUUGGCGAUCAGCAGCCAGGGACAUUUCUUUCCCCUGUGCAGCUGACCAUCAUUGCCAGUUAUCUACCCCCCACCCCCAUCUAGAACAGUGAUCAGCAACCUUUCAUUCAGGGAAUUUGCAUCCUUUGCUUCUGCUUCUCUCUGCCUUAUUUGUUCUGCUCUUCCCUGGGCAAUAGCAGUGGCUGUUGACCCGAGGUGGCAGUGCCUGGGCUGAGUGCCUGGGACCAUGCAGUGUGGUCCCCGAGCUCUUUGUGCUCAUGAAUCCCGUAUGGACCAAUGUGUGGAGAACACCUCCAGUGAGCUCUCACCUCCUGGAGAUGCUGCAUAGCUAAUCCAGCACCAGCAGGACCCUUCCUACCCUGGUGUAGGGAAGGGGAAUAUGCUUACUCAACCUGCAACUGGCUAUGCUAUUUCCCCCCCUUGUGCUCAUGGCAUGGGUACAGAAGCACCCUGUGAGCUGAGCCCUGCUGAAGUCACCACUGCUGGAGGAAUCUCAAGGGAUACUGCAGCAGCUGGUGAAGCAAAACCAUCCCGGUCUUGCCUGCUAUGUGUUCACUGUGACCCUCCACCAUUGUGGCAGCUGAGAGGCUGGUGUGAGGAGCUGGUCUGUACCAAAGCAUGGAACCCCUCUGUGAGCUGCCCAAAACCACCUCAGUCCCAAAGG